UACGUAGGGUGCAAGCGUUAAUCGGAAUUACUGGGCGUAAAGCGUGCGCAGGCGGCUUUGCAAGACAGAUGUGAAAUCCCCGGGCUCAACCUGGGAACUGCAUUUGUGACUGCAAGGCUAGAGUACGGUAGAGGGGGAUGGAAUUCCGCGUGUAGCAGUGAAAUGCGUAGAUAUGCGGAGGAACACCGAUGGCGAAGGCAAUCCCCUGGACCUGUACUGACGCUCAUGCACGAAAGGCGUGGGGAGCAAACGAGG
rnacentral:rRNA from 1 species